rnacentral:rRNA from 1 species
CCUACGGGUGGCAGCAGUGGGGAAUAUUGCACAAUGGGGGAAACCCUGAUGCAGCGACGCCGCGUGAGUGAAGAAGUAUUUCGGUACGUCAAGCUCUAUCAGCAGGGAAGAAAAAAAGUCCUUUGGACUUUGGACGGUACUUGACCAAGAAGCCCCAGCUAACUACGUGCCAGCAGCCGCGGUAAUACGUAGGGGGCAAGCGUUAUCCGGCUUUACUGGAUGUAAAGGGAGCGUAGGCGGCAGCGGAAGUCUGGAGUGAAAUGCCGGGGCCCAACCCCGGAACUGCUUUGGAAACUGUGCAGCGGGAGUGCAGGAGAGGUAAGCGGAAUUCCUGGUGUAGCGGUGAAAUGCGUAGAUAUUAGGAGGAACACCAGUGGCGAAGGCGGCUUACUGGACUGUAACUGACGUUGAGGCUCGAAAGCGUGGGGAGCAAACAGGAUUAGAUACCCUUGUAGUC